rnacentral:rRNA from 1 species
AUUGAACGCUGGCGGCAGGCCUAACACAUGCAAGUCGAGCGAGAGGCAGACGUGUGCGUAAUGUAUGGGGAACUGCCCGAUAGAGGGGGAUAACUCCUGGAAACGGUGGCUAAUACCGCAUACCAUCGGAUAAACCCAUAUGGGAUUAGCUAGUAGGGGGGGUAAAGGCUCACCUAGGCGACGAUCCCUAGCUGGUCUGAGCGGAUGAUCGGCAACACUUGUACUGAGACACGGCCCAGAAUCCGACGCGAGGCAGCAGUGGGGAAUAUUGCACAAGGGGCGCAAGCCUGAUGCAGCCAUGCCGCGUGUAUGAAGAAGGCCUUAGGGGUGUAAAGUACUUUCAGCGGGGAGGCGUUACCCGCAGAAGAAGCACCGGCUAACUCCGUGCCAGCCGCCGCGGUAAUUC